UACGGAGGGUGCGAGCGUUAAUCGGAAUUACUGGGCGUAAAGUGCACGCAGGCGGUUUGUUAAGCUAGAUGUGAAAGCCCCGGGCUCAACCUGGGAUGGUCAUUUAGAACUGGCAGACUAGAGUCUUGGAGAGGGGAGUGGAAUUCCAGGUGUAGCGGUGAAAUGCGUAGAUAUCUGGAGGAACAUCAGUGGCGAAGGCGACUCCCUGGCCAAAGACUGACGCUCAUGUGCGAAAGUGUGGGUAGCGAACAGG
rnacentral:rRNA from 1 species